CAGCCGCCGCGGUAAUACGUAGGGUGCGAGCGUUAAUCGGAAUUACUGGGCGUAAAGCGUGCGUAGGCGGUUGUGUAAGUCAGGGGUGAAAUCCCAGAGCUCAACUCUGGAACUGCCUUUGAUACUGGGUAUCUUGAGUAUGGAAGAGGUGAGUGGAAUUCCGAGUGUAGAGGUGAAAUUCGUAGAUAUUCGGCGGAACACCAGUGGCGAAGGCGACUCACUGGCCCGAUACUGACGCUGAGGCGCGAAAGCGUGGGGAGCGAACAGGAUUAGAUACCCGAGUAGUCCCUGUCUCUUAUAC
rnacentral:rRNA from 1 species